GUGCAGAUCAGCAGAGAUGGCAGAAGCUUCUGUGGCUGUUGAGUUACAGGUGUGUCUGCAGGGAGGACUUCUCCAGCUCCUUUGCUGAUUCUUACACGGAAGCCUGGCAACCAUCGCAGAGGUCCUCCGAGGGGAAAGAACAAAGCUACAGGACACCAGAAACCCCAUGAUCCAUCCGAAAACAUGAGGCAAAUGCUGAAGGAAAUGCUGCAGGCAGGACAAGUGGAUGGAGAGGCUGGGCAUAAGGCGGCGUUUCCCAGAGGAAGCAGGUGCUCCAUUCCAGACUCUGCUGCAGGAAGGAAGAUGAUGCCACGCACAGGCAGAGGAG